GCUGAAAGCAUCUAAGCGCGAAGCCAACUUCAAGAUAAGAUUUCCCACCGCAAGGGUAAGACCCCAGAAAGACUAUCUGGUUGAUAGGUCGAAGGUGUAAGUGCAGCAAUGUAUUUAGCUUAUCGAUACUAAUAGGUCGAGGACUUGACCAAUAUUUAUU
rnacentral:rRNA from 1 species